GAUGAACGCUGGCGGCGUGCCUAAUACAUGCAAGUCGAGCGAACAGACGAGGUGCUUGCUCCUCUGACGUUAGCGGCGGACGGGUGAGUAACACGUGGAUAACCUACCUAUAAGACUGGGAUAACUUCGGGAAACCGGAGCUAAUACCGCAUAAUAUCUUGAACCGCAUGGUUCAAUAGUGAAAGACGGUUUUGCUGUCACCAAUAGAUGGAUCCGCGCCGCAUUAGCUAGUUGGUAAGGUAACGGCUUACCAAGGCAACGAUCCGUAGCCGACCUGAGAGGGUGAUCGGCCACACUGGAACUGAGACACGGUCCAGACUCCUACGGGAGGCAGCAGUAGGGAAUCUUCCGCAAUGGGCGAAAGCCUGACGGAGCAACGCCGCGUGAGUGAUGAAGGUCUUCGGAUCGUAAAACUCUGUUAUUAGGGAAGAACAAAUGUGUAAGUGACUAUGCACGUCUUGACGGUACCUAAUCAGAAAGCCACGGCUAACUACGUG
rnacentral:rRNA from 1 species